GCCUGCCAUUCCAUAAUAAUACCAGCAAGGUGUAUGGGAGGGGCAAGGUAUACAAUAGAACUGUUCUUGCUAUCGCAGCUGAUCUGCCUCCCAAUAUACUUUGUAUCUCCCCAAAUGUAGCUGAGGGGAUUCAUUGUGUUUAACUGAAGUUUCUUUGUUAUUAACCAUGUGCUUAUGGCUGUUUUAUCAGUAUAAAGAUGUGUGUAAAUCCUCUGUAUCGUCAGUCUGAACAGCGCCAGCUUUUGGUGUGGACGCUUUGUGCACAUC